UUAAAGCUGAGUACUUGCUCUUCCCCUGAUCGGAUCAGUGCGAAGAAAAUGGGCGCUCAUAUUUUGAAUCAGAUCAGUUUCUUCAAUCUACGCUAAAAGAGGAGACCCAUUCAACGCAUAUUUCCCAUCUAACUCCUAAAUCUCAUUUAAAAAUUCAAACCCACCUAUCUCAUUCUUUGUUCUCUCCCUGAAGAAGAUCCCCUUUCAGCCUCUGGAAACCCUAAAAUCAGAUCAAACGAAAUCCGGCAACUCAAUCUUUGUUCCGAUCAAUUAUUGACACAACAGAGGUAUAUGAAGAUAUCAACUGAAGCAAUGGAUGUCCAGAAAACUUGAUUCAGUUUCGACCCAGGGAGGAUAUACAAGUUCCAUCACACCCUACUUCCCGACAUAUGCAUAAGGUAAAGGGCCACCGAUGAUGAUGCAAGAACGGUUCAAAAGUGUUAUCAGACAGUUUUUUUAAUACGCGGGGGAAUCAUACGUUCUGGUGAUGCGGUUGAUGAUGACACGACAAACAUUAUAGUUACUCUUGAUACUGUUGAUCCAAGCAAGGUUUGCCUAGAUCCUUGCUGAUUGAAAGUCAUUCCGACAUGCCAUCAUUGAGUCUAGCUGUCCGCUACAGCAACCAACAGGGUAUGUCCCAAACGGGUGCAACAUAUGAAUCUAAGAGCUGUUGGGAUCAUAGGCACAUGGACCGUGGUAUGCUUCAGUACGCGAAAUGGAAACAGGUACAUGGUUCGUGCAUUUUUAAUACUCGGUAAGAAAGGGGUCAUCAAAUGUGUAUUUUUAAGCAUGUUAAAGUAUUGAUACUAUAUCACUAUCUGGCUCAUAUGAACUGGCCUGUAAACGCUGACGACUCUAGCCAUGGCCGACAUCAUAGAUCAUCUUCGAAAAAGAAGUCGAAAUCUCUAUUACCUGAAUCCUCCGACGAAGAAGAUGACGAUAGUGAUGAAGACAGUGAGUCUGAUUCGGUUAGUGACUUAGGUACUGUGUUGAAGCAUGAAAAGUCAAGUAAAAAGAACAAAAAGAAGUCUUCGAAAACGGUUGUUAUCCGGAACAUUAAUUAUAUUACUUCCAAUAGGAAGAAUUCUGAUGGAGGUAGUGAUGAUUCGGCCGAAGAUGAAGUUGACGGUAUUCUUGAAACAUUGGCGAAACACCAUAGUAAGUCGUCGAAAUCACACGAGAAGAAGAAAAAGAUUCGGAUUUAGAUAAUGAUUCGGGAAAACGAAAUGAGAAUUGGGAUGCGUUCCAAAAUCUGCUCUUGAAAGAUGAUGAUCAAGAUGAGCAUUUCGCAAACCGAAAUGAUGCGAUGGAUGUCGGUUCGGAAAGUUAUGUGAAAAAAUCAUCCGAAAGCGAGAGCCAACGCCAACGACUCUUUUGUGGUUCCUGAUAGAAAUGGAUUCAAUGAAUCGAGAAAAGUCGGCUCUCAUGAUUUUGAAAAUGGUGAGACUUUUAGGAUGAAGGGUAGAGAUUCUUCGAAUGCUGAUCUGGUAGUUUCACACAGAUUCGGUGGCGGAACCAAUGGAACGAUGGGUUUUCGGGAUCUUGGCCUCCAAAUCGUCGAUGAUUAGAAACAAAAGGGACGGAGAUUAGUUUGUGGUCAAGAAUUUCGAGAGUCCGAUCGAAAACUCAACAUUUAAUGAUGA
rnacentral:lncRNA from 1 species